UUUUUUUUUUUUUUUUUUUUGUAAUCACCAAACCUUGAAGCCAACCAAGUAAUUGGAAAAUGCAAAAUUAUGAUAUAUUCAUUCACUGUGAUUGAAUACUACCCAAUCGCAGAAGAAAAACCCAGUGAGGUACAGCUAGAGGUACUGAUGUGAGAUGUCUUAAAAACACUGAAUUGCUAAGUGACUAAAAUCAAGAUGCAGAACUGUAUGCAGAGUAUGAUCCAAUUUCUGGAAAAAUAUGUGUAUGAAAUUCUUACUAGUGGUUACCUCUGGUGAGUGGGAUUGUUGUGGUAUGAGGACUUUGACUUUUUACUUUAACUCUUCUGCACAUUGCAUAUGGAUUGAAGUUUCCUUUGUAGGCAAGUGUGGCUUAUUUACGCUUUUCCAAACUCUGCAAUCUAUCCAGGAAGGUCUCUUCAUAUGACACCCACAUUCCCACUUCUGUGCCUUGGGCUCAGGUCCUCCUCUUCCUUUUUCUUUGCACAUUUAAUCUUGUCCAUUCUUCAAGGACCAGCUCAAAUGCCAACAAUUCCAUGAGAACUUUCUGAACUCCUUAAAAGUACACUGCUCUCUUCCUUCUUGGUAUUCCCACUGUACACAGCUGUGCAUUUUUCUCUCACUUACAUUUGUCGACUUUUUCCAAUUUCUAAGCAUCUUAAGAGGACAAAGUAUGUUUAAAAUUAUUUUGUCUUCUGCACUCCCACAUUACAGUCAAUAUGAAGCAUAGCAUUCGAUACUUUUAAAUAUGAGAUAAUUUCCUCAGUAUAUACAUAUUACUUUCAAAAGGGCGAGCCUGGCCAGGCAUGGUGGCUCACGCCUGUAAUCUCAGCACUUUGGGAGGCCGAGGCCGGUGGGUCACCUGAGGUCAGGAGUUCGAGACCAGCCUGGCCAACAUGAUGGUAUAAAAUCUACUUUUUUAGAAUAAAUUCACAUUUUGUACCUCUGAAAUUUUCCAUUCAAGGAAAUCUUAAAAAAUUGAGAUCUGAUUUAUUCACAAUUCUGAUGGUAA
ensembl:lncRNA